rnacentral:rRNA from 1 species
AGUGGGGAAUUUUGGACAAUGGGGGCAACCCUGAUCCAGCAAUGCCGCGUGAGUGAAGAAGGCCUUCGGGUUGUAAAGCUCUUUUGUCAGGGAAGAAACGGUAGAGGCUAAUAUCCUUUGCUAAUGACGGUACCUGAAGAAUAAGCACCGGCUAACUACGUGCCAGCAGCCGCGGUAAUACGUAGGGUGCAAGCGUUAAUCGGAAUUACUGGGCGUAAAGCGUGCGCAGGCGGUUGUGCAAGACAGAUGUGAAAUCCCCGGGCUCAACCUGGGAAUUGCAUUUGUGACUGCACGGCUAGAGUGUGUCAGAGGGGGGUAGAAUUCCACGUGUAGCAGUGAAAUGCGUAGAGAUGUGGAGGAAUACCGAUGGCGAAGGCAGCCCCCUGGGAUAACACUGACGCUCAUGCACGAAAGCGUGGGGAGCAAA